UUGUACACACCGCCCGUCACACCACGAGAGUUGGUUGCACCUGAAGUAGCAGGCCUAACCGUAAGAAGGAUGCUCCGAGGGUGUGGCUAGCGAUUGGGGUGAAGUCGUAACAAGGUAGCCGUAUCGGAAGGUUGCGGCUGGAUCACCUCCUUUCU
rnacentral:rRNA from 1 species